GAUGAACGCUGGCGGCGUGCCUAAUACAUGCAAGUAGAACGCUGAAGCUUGGUGCUUGCACCGAGCGGAUGAGUUGCGAACGGGUGAGUAACGCGUAGGUAACCUGCCUCUUAGCGGGGGAUAACUAUUGGAAACGAUAGCUAAUACCGCAUAAAAGUCGAUAUCGCAUGAUAUUGAUUUGAAAGGUGCAAAUGCAUCACUAAGAGAUGGACCUGCGUUGUAUUAGCUAGUUGGUGAGGUGACGGCUCACCAAGGCGACGAUACAUAGCCGACCUGAGAGGGUGAUCGGCCACACUGGGACUGAGACACGGCCCAGACUCCUACGGGAGGCAGCAGUAGGGAAUCUUCGGCAAUGGGGGCAACCCUGACCGAGCAACGCCGCGUGAGUGAAGAAGGUUUUCGGAUCGUAAAGCUCUGUUGUAAGAGAAGAACGAGUGUGAGAGUGGAAAGUUCACACUGUGACGGUAACUUACCAGAAAGGGACGGCUAACUACGUG
rnacentral:rRNA from 1 species